rnacentral:rRNA from 1 species
AUUGAACGCUGGCGGCAGGCCUAACACAUGCAAGUCGAACGAGUGGCGGACGGGUGAGUAAUGUCUGGGAAACUGCCUGAUGGAGGGGGAUAACUACUGGAAACGGUAGCUAAUUCCGCAUACCAGCAUCUGGGCCCAGAUGGGAUUAGCUACUAGGUGGGGUAAGGGCUCACCUAGGCGACGAUCCCUAGCUGGUCUGAGAGGAUGACCAGCCACACUGGGACUGAGACACGGCCCAGACUCCUACGGGAGUGAGCAGUGGGGAAUAUUGCACAAUGGGCGCAAGCCUGAUGCAGCCAUGCCGCGUGUAUGAAGAAGGCCUUCGGGUUGUAAAGUACUUUCAGCGGGGAGGCGUUACCCGCAGAAGAAGCACCGGCUAACUCCGUGCCAGCAGCCGCGGUAAUAC